UACAGAGGGUGCAAGCGUUGUUCGGAAUUAUUGGGCGUAAAGCGCGCGUAGGCGGAGUGAUAAGUCUGAUGUGAAAUCCCGGUGCUUAACGCCGGACGUGCAUCGGAAACUGUCAUUCUAGAAUCACGGAGAGGAAGGUAGAAUUCCAGGUGUAGAGGUGAAAUUCGUAGAUAUCUGGAGGAAUACCAGUGGCGAAGGCGGCCUUCUGGCUAGUGAUUGACGCUGAGGUGCGAAAGCGUGGGUAGCGAACAGG
rnacentral:rRNA from 1 species